UACCAGCACCCCGAGUGGUCGGGACGAUUAUUGGGCCUAAAGCAUCCGUAGCCGGUUCUACAAGUCUUCCGUUAAAUCCACCUGCUCAACAGUUGGGCUGCGGAGGAUACUAUAGAGCUAGGAGGCGGGAGAGGCAAGCGGUACUUAGUGGGUAGGGGUAAAAUCCGUUGAUCCAUUGAAGACCACCAGUGGCGAAGGCGGAUCUCUGGGCCUUACCUGACGCUGAGGAGCGAAAGUGUGGGGAGCGAACAGG
rnacentral:rRNA from 1 species